UACGUAGGUGGCAAGCGUUGUCCGGAUUUACUGGGCGUAAAGCGCACGUAGGCGGACUCUUAAGUCAGGGGUGAAAUCCUGGAGCUCAACUCCAGAACUGCCUUUGAUACUGAGAGCCUUGAGUUCGGGAGAGGUGAGUGGAACUGCGAGUGUAGAGGUGAAAUUCGUAGAUAUUCGCAAGAACACCAGUGGCGAAGGCGGCUCACUGGCCCGAUACUGACGCUGAGGUGCGAAAGCGUGGGAGCGAGUCCGG
rnacentral:rRNA from 1 species